rnacentral:lncRNA from 1 species
GCACCCACAGCCGGUAGGCCCCCAGCAGCACCAGAGCCACCAGCGCCACGUUCAGCAGCAUUUCCCCGCCCCCCGUCAGAAGCGCCAACGCCGCCGCCGCCCAGCCUCCCCCUUCCGCUGCCGCUCCCGCGUCGCCUGGACUCUCGCUGCCGCCGUCGUUGCUGCUCUCGCUGCCACUCCCCAGGGUGCCUAGCUUCACGUCCCCAUCACCAGCCGCCAUCACUGCCCGCCAGCGCCUUCCUCCUCCUCCCCGCCCCCUGCCCUCCCCAACCCCACGGCCGGCCCCGCCCAUCUGGGGGCCUCUCAGCCAAUAACGUGAGAAGAGGGGGCGGGGUCAGGCCGGCUCCUGAUUGGGUGUUGACGGGGUAACGUUGUCUCGGAUCUCCCGCCCCCUCCCUUCUUUCGCUGGCCGCGCACGCGUGCAACGCCCCGCCCACCUCGCCCCACACUUCCCUGCUCUCACUCCAAGCCUCCGCUAGGUUAAGUAGACGAGCCGGGCGGGUCUGAAGAAAAGAUGCUACGACGGCCGCGCGGACGCUCAUGGGCGGGGCGAGACCACAGCGCGUGCGCGGGCUCCUGAGCGCCACGCGCUCGCCUUUCGUUCGUAACCCCUGCGGGAGGCACGCCCCGCCCAGUCUCCAGGCUCUGCGCGUGCGCCCUGGAAUCGCUUCCCUUCCUAGGCCUGCGUUCGCGUCCGCAAACUCCCGCCUCCUUGCGCUCCCCCCGCCCGGGAGCUUCACGUGCGCCUUGGCGGCCGCGGGGGCAGGUCCGGGCUGGACGCCUGGCGGAGGACGCGGGCAGGUGGCUUGUGGGAGGCUGGGGCAUAGUUGAGCUGCAAGGCGCAAACCGAUGAGGGGCGUCUGCUUUUCACCAGGGCGCCGUCGCUUUUGUCGGGAAACCGGCAGCGUAGGCGCGCAGACCGGGAAGCGGCAAGAAGAUUUGGCCACGAGCUGGGGUCUUCCUGGAACGGAGAGAAAGCACGGAACCCGCACCGGGCUUCUCUGGCAUCGGCAGUCUACGUGCUCCUCGCGCUGGCACCGAGCAGCCACUCCCCGCUGGGUUUGGCAAAGGCUGCUCUUGUAGAAUUUUAAAGGAUUUAGAGUCUCAUUAUUCCUUGAAUCAUAACUUCUGCGGCCGUAGGGAAGUGGACAGGUUGAGGUGGUCUUUCUAUUCGUCAUUCACUCUUAUUUGCAGGUUCUGUUUCAUGUACUUGGACGUCUUUUAGCCUCUCACACCUUGAAAUUCUAGUGUGAAAAAGUGACCUCUGAAGUCUCACGCACUCAACUCGUUUGACGAACUCGUUUGACGUGUUCUCUCUUGCCCUUUGUUGUCUGUUGUCUUGAGUCUCAUAGAAUAGGUUUGAACCUUUCACUGUCGGUUUUGUAGGAGUCACUGAGGAUAUUGACGAGGCAAGUGACAGGGUCGACACUCUUGUAGAGAGGCUGUAUAGCAACCAGGUGUCUGAAGGAUUAGAGGCUGGGGAAAGAGUGGGAAAGCAGUUAGUAGGCUAGGGUAUUUGUGCGUGAGGUGAGGAGACUCAGAGCUAGGGGAGACAUUAGAGCAGGGGUUGGCAAACAUUUUUUGUAAAGGGCCCGAUCAUAUUUUAAGUCUCUGCCUUAACUACUCAGCUCUACCUUGUAACGAGAAAGCAGCCAUAGACAAUACUUGAAUGAGUGUAGCUGUCUUCAGUAAAACUAUGGACAUUGAAUUUUUAAUAUAAUUUCAGGUAUGAAAUAUUCUUUUGAUUUUUAAGAAAAUCAUUGAAAUAUGUAAAUUUUUUUUUUUUUAGUUCUGGAGAGGUGCAAAAACAACUUAUAAGCCAUAUUGCUGAGCCCUGCAUUAGAGGUACCUGAGGGAGAGCGACACAAUUGGUAGUAAAUGACCAUAUACUCUAUCCUUCAAUAUGGAACACUUUUGGAAGUAAAGUAGGGCAUUAAUAAUUAUAGCCAGAGACCAGGAGUUAUAUCAGUUUUAUCCCAGGCAAACCUAAAGGAAUAGUCACCUUAAGGUUAAGGGUUAGGAGAAGUCAAAAUUGCUUUAGGACUUGGUAACAGAAAAUGGGAGGUGCCAGUGAUGGAAAUAGGAAGAUAAAGAAGAAACUGGUUUUGAGGAGAAGAUAGCUGUAGCAGUCCCAAGAGCUGUAUACAGUUGAGACAACAUUGAUAGGAAGGAAGAAAGCACCCCAGAAGCAGGCCACUCCUUAUAUCUUAUUGACCAGAACUGGGCUAUUAGCUGUCCCUAAAGCAGUAACAGACAAGGAGCAUGGGACAUCCAUGAUUGCCUAGUGUUUAUCUGGCUUUUUUAAUUCUUAUUCAGGACUGUGUUGAGCAUUGCUGGACAUUUACCAUCUCUGGUUCCUUCCAGCUAAAUGUCAGUACCACACCUCAGGCAUUGUGACACCGUAAAUCAACCGUUUUUCCCUCCCACCCCCCAGAGGUGUGGUACUGGUUGAGAACCAGUAGCUUAGACCCUCAGGAUUUACCUUGGGGCUGAAUUAGUGUGUGUAGGUUUCUUUUCCAGUUGGUUUGGAGGGAAGAGAGGAAUUGGACAGUAUUAAAGUUCUGCUGUCAAGGAAGUGGGCUGGGGAAUGUUGGGUAGCUAACCAACAUUGGCUGCCACGUGAAGUAAAAAAGUUUUCCUUUAUAUCCUUGAUAAAAUAGUGUCUCGACUUCUUCACACUUGAAGCCUUCCCAAAACCCCAGCUUUUUUGAUUCUCAUUGUAAGCCCCUUGAACUGGACUAGUUGGAAGUUCUUAUUUUCCACCCUAAGUAACAAGCUCUUGUCCCAAUAGGAUACUCUUGCUUUGAGUACUGCAAUAACUUUCCAAUUGGUGACUUGCCGUCAGUCUUUUCCUAUUUCAUUCCUACACGAAGAGACUAGAACUGUGUUCUGAUUUCCUUUGCUCAGACACCAAUCUCCAGGGGUGCUCUGUAAUUUGAAGAGGACAACUCAGAAAGCACUCAAGGGCCUCCAUAAGUCCCUGAGUGGCUUCCCUGCCUUCCCGUUCCCCAGCAAACAAUCCCUUGGAUACCCUCUAUUAAAUGAUACGUUUCCCCUUACAAUACCUAGUCCCUUGCCCCAUAUAUGCUAUGUGUAUUGCACAGUCUAGGACUUGACUCAUGCUGUUUCCUCACGGAGCAUGCCCUUCUUAUUUCUAACCAUACAAAUUCCAUGACCUAUCCAUUCUUUCAAUUCUACUUCCACCUGAGGCCUCUAUCAGCCCACAUUAACCUACCUUCUUUGAAUUUCUGUGUGUUCCUUACCUGUACCACCCAUUUUGGCCUUUUAUUUUAUGCUCUUCUUGACUAUUCUGUUAUUGAAACUGUCCUUUAGAUCCCAAGAUUUCUACUUUUUCCCUGCGGAUGCUUUUUUAUUUUUUUUAUUUUUGACUUCUUUCUACCCUCCUUUUCCUCUUACAUCCCUGCUUUGCCUAGAGGACAUCUACAAGAAUCGUCAUGUACAUUCUUUUCUCCUGUUGUUAGCUUUUUUCCCCUGACACUUCAUCUAUUUACUGAUUUACUUGUAAAUCUCUGGAAGAUAUUAGUACUAGCCACCAAAUAUUUCUAUUUCUUUUUCCACACACGUAGAUUUGGAUUUCCCUACUCCUUUUACCUCAAGAAUGGCCAAUGAAAUGUGAUUGGAAGUGACUUGUGUCAUUUCCAAAUAAAAGCUUUAAGAGCCUGUGGACAUUUAUCCUGCGCUGUUUCUUCCUGCCAACAGUGAUGAAAUAUUUUAAUUAUCUAUUGUCCCAUGACAAAGCACCUUAAAUCUUAAUGGUUUAAAACAGUCACCAUUUUAUUAUGUGUAACAGUUUUGUGGGUUGACUAGGCUCAUGGGCAGUUGUCUAAUCUUGCUCAGGGUCUCUCAUGUGGUUCCAGCCUGGUAUUGUUUGGGGCUGGAGUUUUUGGAGGCUCAACUAGGUUGCUAGAGUAGCUGAGCUUUUCUAUUUACCCAUGCCGUUCCAAAGACUCUCUGAUUCACAUGGCUUCUUCAGCAGAGUAGCCUGACUUCUUUCUUGCAUGGUGGCUUAGGAUUCUCAAAUGCAAUAAAAGCAAAAACUUCGAGGUUUUGUAAGUCUUAGGUCUGGAAAUGACAUGUUGUAUUGGUAAAAGCAGUUACAGGGCCAGCUCAAUUUUAAGGGGAGAGGAAAUAAACACUUGAUAGGGGUGGAGGGAGAGUGACAAAGAAUUUGUGGCCAUCUUUAUUACAAAAAUUUUUGUCAACCACAGAGUUACAGGAAAAUGUGGCCAUCUUUAAUCACUACUCCAACGAUGUUUCAAAUUGAGUGGGCUUCCAUCAGCCAGGGUCUCGGAGACAGGACAAAGUGGAAAACAGCUCCCAAAUAACAUACCUAGGUAUAUGAAUAAGAAAUACAUCUCUGCUGUCCUGAGUCACUUAGCUAUUUGGAGUUGUUUGGUAUCAACUUUUGCAUACUAAUAUAAAAAUUGGUACUGGAAAUAGGGUGGUGCUAUAACAAAAAUCUAAAAUAUGAGUCACUGACAUAUAUAAUAAUUGAGUUAGAAAUACUAGUGGUUGGUUGUUAGGCAGCAUCCAGCUUUGACUCACUUAUGCAUUUCCCAGUGAACCUAGCUCAGAAGUUUGCACCAUGAUAUUCAAUAAAUAAUUCUUAAAUAAGAGAGAUUGUUUCUUGUAAUUUUUCCCUAUUUUAGGGAAAAACUUUUUUUUUUUUUCCAUAUCACAUUUUUCUUGAAACAUUGGAGUGCCACGAACAUAUCAUUUGAUGCUCUGUUUGAGUGCCACCAGUGAGUUUCCCGAUGUUUAAGUUUGGCUCGUGGGCAGCCCACCUUCUUCCUCUCCACUUUCUCUUGGGAGCCAUCCUGCUCAUGGAAAGUGUGCUUUCUCCUCUGCUACCUCACACAAGUUUCAAAGGAGCUUGCUCCUGCCAGGGGAGGCUUGGGGUAAGCCAAACAGCAUCAGCUCCCCGGGGGAAGGGAAAUUUCAGGUUUGGAGCUAAGUUCACUUCCAGGGAGUGACAAAGCCUGUUUGAACUUUAAUUCACAGAGUAAAAGAGUUCAAUGUUGGCCAUUAAUGAUUUGGACUUUAACAUGAAGUUGGUACUGAUUACUUUGGGCCAUAAUUUAGAAGGACAGAGUGAUUUAAUCUCUGAACUUUUAAUUUCUCUCUGGAAAAUUAAUACUGGGAGAGGGUUAAAAUCAAAUUGAGAACAUCUUGUUGGUUCUUAGUUAUUAAAGUAUUUGAUCACAUUUUAGAAAUUCUGAUAACUUUGGGCAAGCUGACAGGACAUAGUUUGAGAUGGCGAUAGAACAUAUUGUGAAUUACAGCCUUGGAUACAGAAUAGCAUUGGAACUGAUUUAAUCGAUAAAUUGUUCUGACCCAUUCAGGGCAUUUUGGGGACAGACUCUACAGUUUACUAGUGGCCCCAGGACAUCCUGCAAAAGAGGUGAAAUCAGUAUUGGAGAAGUGGUCUCAUGAAGAUGGGAGCACGACUACUACAAUUGACUGCUGACUUCUCACCCAAGGAAGUAACUGUAUCCCAGCCUAAUCUCAGUGGAUAAGCCCACAGGGUUAAGGUCCUCACAACAUUGUGCAACAAGUGUGAAAGAUGUAGUCUCCAUUUACGGCUACUGAAAUAGGCUGAGAGAGGAGAGAGAGACUAAUGGCCCCAGCUCCUCAUGUGGUCUCAUUUUCCAGUUGCCCCAAAACUUUCUGCUCUGAGACCCACUAUGGCUCUUCUUUCUGCACCUCUCACCUGGUGAAGCGACCUGUGGCCCCACUGAUGCUCAGGCUGUGACAGUACUGCAAUGAAAAGAGAGACCAGGGUCUGGAGGUCCCAACAGCAAGUAGUGCUUCUAGAGAGAACUCCUCCCCAGCCAGCACUGCUCAUUGAACAGCUUACAACCCAUGAUGAGCUGUUUUUCUAGGAGGCCCUCUUCCAUUCCCCAGGCCCAAACGCCUCUGUGAGAUAUGGGACUAAACAAUGACCCACACCUCUUGGCUAAACACUCUGGAUAACACUGGUUACUCAGCUUCCUCUAGCCUUCCAGGACAGCUCACAACAUACCCCACAUUCCAAUAACCUCAGUGCUAGAAGUCCACACCUCCUAGAUCAUUAUCGCUUGUCUCAACACUGCUUUUUACCUUCCCCACUCUAUCUUGUUUAUGCUGCUCUGCAAUCUCAGACUCCUCCACUGCCCUCUAUAAUUCUUGGUUUUCCAUUACCAAACUUUUCUACAUCCCAAAACUGCUCUCUGAACAUUUGCUUCCCCUUCUUCCUCUAACUGAAACUUGGCUGUUCCCUGAGGAAAUUUCUUUCCUAGAAGCAGUUUCCUCCCAAAUGGAAGAUGUCUUGUCUUUCUGUCAGAGGUGUUCGAGCUAGAGUGACUCCAUCAUGAGCAGGGGCUGGAUAAAAUGAGGCUGAGACCUACUGGACCACAUUCCCAGGAGGUUAGGCAUUUGUAGUCACAAGAUGAGAUAGGAGGUCAGCAGGACUGGUAUCACAAGAUUCAGGCAAAACAGGACACCAUAAAGAAGCCAGCCAAACCCCACCAAAACCAAGAUGGCAGUGAAAGUGAUACCUGGCCAUCCUCACUGCUCAUUAUACACUAACUGAAUGCAUUAGCAUGCUAAAAGACACUCCCACCAGUGCCAUGACAGUUUACAAUACCAUGGCAACGUCUGGAAGUUACCUUAUACAUUCUAAAAAGGGGAGGAACCCUUUUUGGAACCAUUCUGGGAAUUGUCUGCCCCUUUCCCAGAAAACUCAUGAAUAAUCUACCCCUUGUUUAUCAUAUAAUCAAGAAAUAAUCAUAAAAAUAGCCAACCAGUAGCCCUUGGGGCUGCUCUGUCUAUGGAGCAGCGAUUCUUUUGUUUCUUUACUUCACUCAUGAACUUGCCUUCAGUUUACUCUGUGGACUCACCCUGGAUUCCUUCUUGCACAAGGUCCAAGAACCCUCUCUUGGGGUCUGCAUCGGGACCCCUUUCUGGUAAACCUUUAUUUGGCUGUAGGUAGAGUAAGUAUCUUUUUUCUUCCUAUUGAUCCUUCCAAACUAUCUAUCCUUCUUUUGACUUUGAAAACCCUAAGUCUGUUGAGUUCAUGUCUUCAGACUUUACCACCUAAUCUCUCUUCUAAUAGUUGUCAUCUUUCAGAAUCUCUUGCUGUCUCUCAUCAUUCUUUGAUGACUUUAUCAUCUAGUUUAUUGUAUUUGAUUUCCUCCAUUAUUCCUACAAUCCUGUUGGUUUUGCUGUCCUUGUAGAUUAUCCACCCAGUACCCUGGUCUCUCAAUUUCUUGAACUUCUCUACUUCAAAUAUCUUCACUCCACUGCAACCAGCCACUGCCAUUCUUACAGCCACACCAUAGACAUUAUUAACAGUCAAUACCAAUAGCCUUUAAAAUCUCUGGACAGCAAUCACUAUCCUGCUGUCUGAUUAUCACAUUUUGAGUCUCUAUCUCACUCCUACCAGUUCCCUUGGAACUGUUCUUUGACCCUAUAGGGACAUUCAAUCCAUUGAUCCUGCUGAUUUUAUUUUUUAAUUUCCCUAACUUUCAUAUUGUUAUUUAUCUUCUUGUUAAGCUAGCUUCCAUGGUCUGGCACUUGAGCCAGAUUCUUGCAGAAAACCUGAACUUUCUUGUUUUCCUUUCUCUCCACUGAACACAUCUGAAAAAACUCACCCCUUGUGAAACCCAGUUAUCCUCCUAUGCUGUAACUACACCUGAGAAACUAAUGUUACUAGAGGAAAUUCAUACAACCAUGAUGACUGGACUUGCCUAAAGUUUUCCACUGUAAAUCCCAAAUGGAAUCCAAUGCUGCUAGAUGAUGCUGUUUCACUUCCUUGGUACAUUCACCCUCCUACACUCUAGGACAAUCUUUCUUCUAAAACCUCCAUUCUUUCAUCCCAUUCACUCUCAGCCAAUAACCUCGGCCAAGGAAAUGUAGCUAACUUAGAAUUGCCUCAUCUUCCCAUCACUAAACCUACCAAUCUACUUGCAUCUGUACCCUCCAUGUAUUUUAUGUUUCUUUCUGAACACUGGAAGUAGUGUUUCUACUUCUGAUGUCCAGCCCCUCUGUUAGCGUCUUAGAUCACAUCACAUCCACAUUUGUUUACUCAAGGACCUCAAUACUGGAGUUACCCUCUCUCUUCUUAAUUAUUGUUUUUUUUCAUCAUGGAAUUAUUCCUAAUGAUAUACAAACAUGUUUUAUUAUUAAUCAUCCCUUGAAUCCCAUGAUUUGAGGGAACCUAAAAAAAUAAAAUAAAAUAAAACUAUAUCUCCCUUGACGUCACAUCAUCCUCAUAUGUUUUAUUUCUUUCCCUCUCUUCACAGUCUUCAAACUAUUUGUUUAUACUUUCUGUCUCUACUUUCUCAUUUUUUUCCUUUCAUAUGCCCAUUCCAAGUACACUUUUUUGUACCCACCACUCUGUUGAAAUAGAUCCUAUCCAGUUUAUCAAUAGCAUCUAAUAUAGUGGUCAAUUUUCUGUCUGAAUCUAAUUCAGCCUCUCACUAGCAUAGACUCUGGAGUCAAAUUGCUUGAGUUUAAAUUCUGAUUCUAUUACUUCCUAGCUAUAUGACCUUGAGAAAUUUAUUGUAUCAUUUCCCUUUUUGAAAAAUGAGGAAAAAUCAUAGUACCUGUUUCUUAGAGAUGUGGUAAAGAUUAAAUGAGUUUGGCUGGGCACGGUGGCUCACACCUGUAAUCCCAGCUCUUGGGAGGCUGAGGCAGGCGGAUUGCUUGAGCCCAGGAGUUCAAGACCAGCCUGCAACAUGGCAAGACCCCAUCUCUACAAUUAAAAAGUCGGGUGUGGUGGCCUGUACCUUUGGUCCCAGCUGCUCAGGAGGCUGAUGCUGGAGGAUCACUUGAGCCCAGGAGUUCGAGGCUGCAGUGAGCCAUGAUCAUGCCAUUGCCAUCCAGCCUGGGCAACAGAGUGAGACUAUCUCAAAAAAAAAGUAAAUAUAGACCAUCUUAGUGUCUGUUUAUAGUAAAUGCUAUAUUAAUGGCUAUACUAAUGGUAGCUAUUGUUAUUUCCCAAGCUUUUAAAUUUGGUGCUGAAAUGGAAGGGGACUCGCCUUUUGGGUUAUGGAGCUGGAAAAUGCCAGUUAAUGACUGCUGGUAGUCCUUUCCCUACCAUGUGGAAAAAGUCUGCAUGAGACGAGAUUGAGGUUAACACAUGAAAGGAGUCAAGAAAAAGGGAGGAGUAUAAUAGUCAACAUUCUUGAUUAUGAACAACAGAUCCAUUCCAAAUAGUCCAAAAAUAAGCAAAAGUGGAUUUAUUAAAAGAUAUUAGGUAGCUCAAGGAAUUUCCAGAAUUGCUGGAAAACAGGCUUGAUAGUUCAUUGCCAUGGACAUUGAAGCUAAGAACACUGGCUGAUCUUGCUGAAAAAUUAUACUGGCAAAAACAUCAUUCCUACUACCUGUUGCCAAUUGAUAUGGCACCAACCCUGAACCUGAAGCCAUAAUCUGUGUUGCUGUUGCCCCAAAAGAACUAGAUUCCUUGACCACUGUCCUUGUCAGGAAAUCAAUCUCCCAGUGUGGGGCCAUCACUGAUUAUAACUCCCCUCCACAUUCAAGUCUCCUGUAGUUGUAUCUGUUUGGCAAUGCCUAGAUCAUACACCUUUACUCUAAAUGCAAAGAAAUCCAGUAAAUGUAAUUUUUUAUAUUCUACUUUUAGAAGAAAUAAUUCACAAUAUGGAAAACUAUAAAAAUGUGAAAAUGUUUUUCAGCAGCUAUAAAUAAUAUGUUUUCAAUAUAGAUUCCUGUGGUAGAGAGGGGGAACUGUUGACUUCAUGUGAAAUCCUUGGAUCCAGCUGGACCUAAGACUACUCUUUGGAACUUCAUGUUUUAUGAAACAAUAAGUUUCUUCCUUUAGUUGAGAGAGUUUGAGUUAGCUUUUUGUCAGUUCUAUUUAGUGUUAUUAUUAAUGCAGCUUCCAACCUUUCUGAUCCAAGGUUCACUACUGCAAUAUCCCCAUAAUUGGUCUCUUGCCCCCCAUACCCACCCUUCUAUCUUUUCUCUUCUCUAGAGUCAGGUAAUUUUUCAUAAAUAUAACUAUUUAUGUCAUCCUUCUGCCCAAAACUCUAAAUGGCUUUCUGUUGCUUUUUGAUGAAAACCAAGGUUCCAACAUAGUAUAUACUCUCUAUAACUGGGCUUUGUUCACUUUUUCAGGCUUAACCUUUUUGCUGAUUUUUCUGCUCAAGUCUUGCUGGCCUUAAUUUUGUUCCUUAAACAUAGCAACUUCUCAUCUUAUCAAGGCCUUCAGACAGGCUGUUUCUUGCCCCUAGAGAGCUCCUUCCACUCUGUCAUUCUCCCUUAUCCUCCUACUGCUCAAUCCCCAGCAAUCUCCUCUUUAUCUUUUGUCUUUUGACUUAGAUGUUACUUCAAGAAUGUCAUUAGAAUGGGAGCUCUUUGGAGCCAGGGAAUUUGUCUGUUUUGUUCACUGUUGUAUGCCCACUGCGUAGAGCAGUGAAUGUUGAAUGAACAAAUGAGGGAGGAAGGGUUUCAUCCUCCCAGUCCGUGAGAUUUCUUCUUACUUUCCCAGCAUGCCCAAAGCCUGUAAUUUUUUGUUUAAAUCGGCAUUCACAUCAAAGCACACUGCUAUAGUUAGGAUGUUUGUCCCCCAAACCUUGAAAUUUGAUCUCCAGUGUUGGAGGUGGGGGCCCAAUGAGAGCUGUUUGGGUCAUGGGGGCAGAUUCAUCAUGAAUGGCUUGGUUCCAUCCUCACAGUAAUUAGUGAAUUCUCGCUCUGUUAGUUCCCACCAGAGCUGGUUGUUAAAAAGAGCCUGGUACCUCCCUCCCCUCUCUCUCUUGCAUCUUCUCUCACCACGUGAUAUCUGCAUGCACUGGCUCCCCUUUGACUUCCACCGUGCACUGGCUCCCCUUUGACUUCCACCGUGAAUGGAAGCAACCUGAGGCUUUUAUCAGAUGCCCAAUCUUUCAGCCAGCAGAACCAUGAACCAAAUAAACAUUUUUUUCUUUAUAAAUUAUUCAGUCUCAGGUUUUCCUUUAUAGCAAUGCAAAUGGACUAAGACAGAAACUAUCAACAGAAUGAAAAAGCAACCAUGGAAUGGUAGAAAAUGUUUGCAAAUCUUAUAUCUGAUAAGGGAUAAUAUCCAGAGUAUAUAAAGAACUCCUAAAACUCAACAAUAACAACAAAAAAUCCAAUUUAAAAAUGGGGAAAGGACUUAAAUAGACAUUUCUCCAAAGAAUGUAUACAGGUAUCUAAUAAAUGUGAGAAGAUGCCCAACACCACUAAUUAUUUGUAAAUGAACAUCAAAAUCACAAUGAGAUACCACUUCAUACUGGCUAUUAUUAAAAACAAACAAACAAAAAACCAGAAAAUAACAAGUGUUGAUGAGGAUAUAGAGAAAUUAGGGCACUAGGACAUUACUGGCAGGCAUGUAUAAUAGUGCACCCUCUGUGAAAAAUGGCAUAGUGGUUUCUCAAAAAAUUAAAAAUAGGCUUACCAUAUGAUCCAGCAAUUCCACUUCUGGGUAUAUUCAAAAUAUUGAAAGCAGGGACUCAAACAGAUAAUGGUACAACAAUGUUCACAGCAGCAUUAUUCACAAUAGCCAAAAGAUGGAAAGAACCCAAGUGCCCAUCAAUGGAUGAAUGGAUAAACAAAAUGUGAUAUUUACAUAUAACAGAAUUAUUCAACCUUAAAAAGUAAUGACAUUCUGAUGCUUGCUACAACCUGGGUGAACCUUGAAGACAUUAUCCUAGGUGAAAUAAGCCAGAAACGAAAGGACAAAUAUUGUAUAAUUCCACUUGUGUGAGAUAUCUAGUGAAGUCAAAUUCAUAAAGACAACAGAUAAAAUGGUCAAAAGAGGUGGGGGGCAGAGGGAAAAGGAGGAUUAUUAUUUAUUGGGUACAGAAUUUCAGC